GGAAUGUACCACAUAAUAUAAAUGCAUAUUUAGAACUCAAACGUUAAUAUAUUUCUACAUGGCAUCUCACAAACUGAAAGGGGCUUACAAUAUUCAAGGAAUGUCAAGUGAAGCAUAAUAGCCGCAACAACAACAACGAGUGUCAGUCUCGUGAAUGAAUAACUAACACAUUCAUCUCAUAACUGAACUAUCUUUGCAAAGCAUUGAACUACUGAAGCAUAUGGUGAAAGUCUACGUAUCCUACACUAUUGGAAAGGCAGCUAUUAGCUGCUACUUAUUUUGCAUUUAUUUAGGGCAUUUGUUUAGGAAUUUUUGUGUGCAUAUCUGUUCUUACCUUUUGUUGUAUGAU
rnacentral:misc_RNA from 1 species